UACGGAGGAUGCGAGCGUUAUCCGGAUUUAUUGGGUUUAAAGGGUGCGUAGGCGGGACCAUAAGUCAGCGGUGAAAGUUUUCGGCUCAACCGGAAAAUUGCCGUUGAAACUGUGGUUCUUGAGUGUAGAAGAGGUAGGCGGAAUUCGUUGUGUAGCGGUAAAAUGCGUAGAUAUAACGAAGAACACCAAUUGCGUAGGCAGCUUACCAUACUGCAACUGACGCUGAGGCACGAAAGUGUGGGUAUCAAGCAGGAUUAGAUACCCGUGUAGUCCCUGA
rnacentral:rRNA from 1 species